UUCCUCUGUGCCCACCUCCUCCACCUGUGCUCUUGCUCUCUCUCAAAAAUAAAUAGGCUUAAAAAAAUAGUUUUAAGUCAUUUGUGCAUGCUGGUAAGAGGGUAGACUUUAUCCUUAAUUAUUGUUUCUGCAAUUUCUUAGUAUUUUUUAUCCCAGAAAAAGAACUUUGGCUGUAGUCACAGAGGAGCAGAUUUGAAUCUUGAAAAUUAUGCGUUGCACCUACCUAUAUGCUUGCUGUGACUUGGUUCUGUCUACCUAAAUAUUUGAAGCCACAAAAUUUCCCUGUAUCUCUUAUGCCACCUACUUUGGUUUCAUAAUAGGCACCCCUUACAUAACUUUUAGUGUUCCCCAAAGGAAUUAUUCUACAAAAUAGUUUCCAAUGUAUCAGGACUCUACUUUUCUCCUGGUAUGCAUAUGAUCAAAUUGAAUAAGUACUAAUUCCUAGUGCACAGUAUAAAUAAUCCAUCCUUUAAGGUACUUUGUACUCUGCUAAAAUUAAGAUUAAAACAUAAUGUAUAUAUUUUGCACUAAGCCAGAAGCAAUCUAUAUUUAAGGAUUUGUGUUUUGUGCGCUGUUCCAAGAGGGUCUGAUAAUCCCUGUGAUUAGAGAAACAUAAGAUUUAUGUUUGCUGUGGAGAAACAUGAUCAUCUCGGUUACUAUGAAUCAUUCUGGAAACAUCCCAUCUCUGUUUCCCAAUUACUCAGAUCAUUAGAUCAAAUUUAGUUCAGUUCAACAAACAUGAAGCACCUUUUAAUGUCUCAAAAAGUCUACAGUGAUACAGGGAACACAAGCAUAUAAACAAUUACAAUGCAAUGUGGUAAGUACAGUGAUAGAAGAUUUGAAGAGGGAAUGAUUACCUUUGGAGUUGGAUGGGCUUCAAGAAGGCCUUACAGAAGAAGUAGUGUUUGAGCUGGGUCAUGAAGGAUGAUAGAGUUAACCAGGACUCUAUGAGAGGAUGGCCCUGGAGAAAGAAAAACUGUGCAAAGGCCCUGCAAAUAGUUCAUUACCGCCGAUUAGUGUGAGGCACUGUGAUGAGAGAAGUGCAGGACAGGGAAGUAUGAGCCAGAUCAUUGAGGGUCAUGGGAUACUGUGCUAAUGAACAUGAAACCUGUGCCUGAUGAGGAGCCAGUGCAGGGUUUUAAGCAGAGGAGUGUCAUGAUCUUUCUGAAACACAAGUCUGAUCAUUUUAUGAACAUGCUGAGAAUGUAUGGGAAGGUGAGGAAAUUGGAGGCAGCUAGGAGGGCUGAAUUAAGGCAUUGGCAAGUGCACUUGGGAUGGGUGUAUUUAAGAGGCAUGUGGGAAAAUUAACAGGACUUGAUUGAUUUCAGAAUUAAAUGGAAGGGUACAAGGCAUUAACCAUUAUUUGGAAAAUGUUAGCUAUAUUUUUUAGUACUGUUGACAUUUCAAAUCAUUUAAACAUCAGAUUGGUUCAGAAGAGACUUAAUAGGAAAUUUGUAAAUGUGGAAAGAAAAAAUAUUCACCUUUUUAAUGAAAGUAGCAUUUUGAAAUAAAUCAUUGGCUAAAAAGUCAUAGGUCUGCUACUUGAAUUUAGAUGUACAAGCCUGAUUUGCAGUAAUUUUCAUAUAACAAUGGUUUCAGUAGAUAAGAAAAAAUUAAAACUACUAUAACAUCUUUGAAAUGGAAUAUAUCCUAUAGUUUUUAGAAAUCAUGGUUAUAUUUUCAUGGUUUUAUAGAAUGGAAUAUAUCCUAUAGUUUUAGAAAUCAUGGUUGUAUUCUAUGCUUGAACUUUCAUUGUAAAACUCUUAUUUGAUCACAUAUAAGCCAUGGCUGAAUUCCUGAGUUAAAAAUUUUAGAAUUUAGUAAUAUUCAUAUCAUCUGCUCAUUAGAGAAAGCCUGUCCCACUCUGCUGGUGAUAGAAAAUGGAAUUUUCAGAUCAUUUGCAAGAUCACUUUCCAUUAAGGAAGAUUUUUAAUCCUUACUCAAGCAAAGGGUGGAAAGUGCUGGAGAUGUCAUUUAUCAUAUCAUGAAGACAAAAAAGAAUCCACCACACUUGGCCAUAAGAGAAGAAGAAGAAGAAGAAGAAGAAGAAGAAGAAGAAGAAGAAGAAGAAGAAUAUGGACUCUGCUGUUAGCUAGAUCUGAAUUCCAGUCCCAGCCCCACCUUUGCCACCUAGUAGUUGAGAGGCCUGGGCAAGUUUCCCCUCUGAGGGGCCUUCGUUUCCCCUCAGAAGAAUACCUACCCAUGAGGUUGUUGCAGGAAGCAAAUGGUAUAAUACUUAUAAAUCACUUAGUACAAUUUCUGCCAUAUCAAUAAAUAGCAGCUCUUGUUAU